UACAGAGGUCCCGAGCGUUGUUCGGAUUCACUGGGCGUAAAGGGUGCGUAGGUGGCCAUGAAAGUUCGAUGUGAAAUCUCCGGGCUUAACCCGGAAAAGGCAUUGAAAACUCUGUGGCUGGAGGUUUGGAGGGGGGACUGGAAUUCUCGGUGUAGCAGUGAAAUGCGUAGAUAUCGAGAGGAACACCAGUGGCGAAGGCGGGUCCCUGGACAACACCUGACACUGAGGCGCGAAAGCUAGGGGAGCAAACAGG
rnacentral:rRNA from 1 species